GAUGAACGCUGGCGGCGUGCCUAAUACAUGCAAGUCGAGCGAACAGACGAGGCUCUUGCUCCUCUGACGUUAGCGGCGGGCGGGUGAGUCACACGUGUAUACCCGACCUAUAAGACUGGGAUCCUUCGGGAAACCGGAGCUAAUCCCGGGUAACAUGUUGAACCGCAUGGUUUAAUCGUGAAAGACGGUCUUGCUGUCACCUAUAUAUGGAUCCGCGCCGCAUUAGCUAGUUGGUUAGGUAACGGCCUACCAAGGCGACGACUCGUAGCCGACCUGAGAGGGUGAUCGGCCACACUGGAACUGAGACACGGUCCAGACUCCUACGGGAGGCAGCAGUAGGGAAUCUUGGGCAAUGGGCGAAAGCCUGACGGAGCAACGCCGCGUGAGUGAUGAAGGUCUUCGGAUCGUAAAGCUCUGUUAUUAGGGAAGAACAAAUGUGUAAGUAACUAUGCACGUCUUGACGGUACCUAAUCAGAAAGCCACGGCUAACUACGUG
rnacentral:rRNA from 1 species